GGUAAAAAAGCUCGUAGUUGGAUUUCUGUUGAGGGCGACCGGUCCAUACCACGUAUGCGCAUCUGGCUCGGCCUCGGCAUCCUCUCGCAAGACGUUUCUGCGCUUGAUUGCGUGGAGCGGAUUACGGGACUUUUACUUUGAGGAAAUUAGAGUGUUCACGGCAGGCUAUCGCCAGAAUAUAUUAGCAUGGAAUAAUACUAUAGGAUCUCGGUUCUAUUUUGUUGGUUUCUAGACCUGAGAUAAUGAUUAAUAGGG
rnacentral:rRNA from 1 species